CUGCAAACUAGAUCACUAGCUCUGCAUCAUGUUGCAGUUGCAAGGGGAACACGUUUGCAAAAUAAUUUGUGGAGGGUAAAUUUUGGCCUUAAAGGCCUGUCUUUUGGCUGAUAUAAUACCUUCCUCAACAAUU